rnacentral:rRNA from 1 species
CCAAAGCGGGCUGCAUAGUACAUGCAGUCGAGCGAACAGAUAAGGAGCUUGCUCCUUUGACGUUAGCGGCGGACGGGUGAGUAACACGUGGAUAACCUACCUAUAAGACUGGGAUAACUUCGGGAAACCGGAGCUAAUACCGGAUAACAUAUUGAACCGCAUGGUUCAAUAGUGAAAGGCGGCUUUGCUGUCACUUAUAGAUGGAUCCGCGCCGUAUUAGCUAGUUGGUAAGGUAACGGCUUACCAAGGCAACGAUACGUAGCCGACCUGAGAGGGUGAUCGGCCACACUGGAACUGAGACACGGUCCAGACUCCUACGGGAGGCAGCAGUAGGGAAUCUUCCGCAAUGGGCGAAAGCCUGACGGAGCAACGCCGCGUGAGUGAUGAAGGUCUUCGGAUCGUAAAACUCUGUUAUCAGGGAAGAACAAAUGUGUAAGUAACUGUGCACAUCUUGACGGUACCUGAUCAGAAAGCCACGGCUAACUACGUGCCAGCAGCCGCGGUAAUACGUAGGUGGCAAGCGUUAUCCGGAAUUAUUGGGCGUAAAGCGCGCGUAGGCGGUUUUUUAAGUCUGAUGUGAAAGCCCACGGCUCAACCGUGGAGGGUCAUUGGAAACUGGAAAACUUGAGUGCAGAAGAGGAAAGUGGAAUUCCAUGUGUAGCGGUGAAAUGCGCAGAGAUAUGGAGGAACACCAGUGGCGAAGGCGACUUUCUGGUCUGUAACUGACGCUGAUGUGCGAAAGCGUGGGGAUCAAACAGGAUUAUAUACCCUGGUAGUCCACGCCGUAAACGAUGAGUGCUAAGUGUUAGGGGGUUUCCGCCCCUUAGUGCUGCGGCUAACGCAUUAACCACUCCGCCUGGGGAGUACAACCGCAAGGUGGAACUCUAAGGAAUUGACGGGAACCCGCCCAAGCGGGGGAUCAUGUGGCUUUAUUUCGAAGAAACGCGAAGAACCUUACCAAAUCUUGACGUCCUUUGACCGCUCUAAAGAUAGAGUCUUCCCCUUCGGGGGAAAGAGAGACAGGA